AGGUCAGAAAUGAAAGCCUAUAUCUAUCCUCAAUGUUCUGACCUGGAAACAUAUGAAUGUUUAGUAGUCUAACACC
rnacentral:snoRNA from 1 species